UCCAUGCUGCAGAACUGCCUGACCACCUAACCACUGCAAGUCACUUUGGAUGAAACUGUAAGGUUAAAUAAAGUAGAGGGUACGAGGGUUAGAAUAAAGGUGAGGGUACAAGGGUUAGAAUAAAGGUGAGGGUACGAGGGUUAGAAUAAAGGUGAGGGUACGAGGGUUAGAAUAAAGGUGAGGGUACGAGGGUUAGAAUUAAGGUGAGGGUACGAGGGUUAGAAUAAAGGUGAGGGU